AGUUUCAGUUCCAAGUAUGGGGAGCCUCCAAAAUUUAUUGUUUUUUUAUUCUAUUUUUGUGUAAAAAUCUUAAUGCGGUUCACAGAAUACAUCUACUUACCAAGUUUCAACAGUAUAUAUAGUUCUUAUAGUUUCGGAAAAAAGUGGCUGUGACAUACGGACGGACGGACAGACAGACAGACAUGACGAAUCUAUAAGGGUUCCGUUUUUUGCCAUUUGGCUACGGAACCCUAAAAAGUC